ensembl:lncRNA
AAAAAAAAAAUAGAAAAGAAAAAACGUGAAAAGGCUCCUUUGCUGCCCUCUGCCUGCCGAGGCUGCGGGGGAGCCCGGCCGCCUCCGAGGCCGAGGAAGGGCUGACAUUGCCGGAGUGAAAAAAAAAGGACGAAUCCGGGCCAGUUUGCACACCUGUGGUGCUUCCACAGAAUCAGUUGUGUUGGAAAAGAACUCUGAGAUCAUCGAGCCCAACCUUUCCUGGCUCUGGAUGCACUGAGUUACCCAUUUUCCCACGUGUGGAUGUGCUCCUGUUUACAUUACUUGCAAACAACUUCAGUAGAAGGUAAAACUCCUUCCCGUCAGACUAAGCUGAAGGAUGUCCCCAAGCCGAGAGGGUUUUGGGGUCUGCACUUUAAAACUUGAAUUAUUUAAUGACACAACAGUACAAAUAGCUAACACAUGCAAGCCGCAGGAAAAAAAAAAGUGGAAAAAACAGGAGGGUAGAGCGAAUAUGCUGAUAAAUGCCUGUGAUACACAAACACAGGCAGUAAAUACCGUGUGGUUCAUUAGAUACGGGCUGGGGUGAUCCUGCCCUGCAGUUAAAGGCCUCUCACUUCCUCUGCCUUCUCCAGGUUGGUGCUUUCUACCAGCUCCGCUCUCCAGCUCUGCUGGUUCCCAGUUUGCCACCCUUUAAAUGUUGAGCUGUUGAUCCUCUCUGGUGAUACAAUGCAACUCUUUGAUGCCAAAAGCCCCUUCCUCCACUGAAUCCACAAGUUUCAGGGAUGCUGGGACUACACAGGAAAGGCAGGCAACAUGUAAUGAAAUUACGUGGAAGAGAAAGAUCCAUUAGAGCAAUGAGAUACCCGUAAAUCCUGUUAGCAGCCAAGCAUUUCCAUAGAAAUUUCCUGAUUCUAGAUGCCCAGCACCUUUCCUACGCUUCCAUUUCCUUAACACCAUUCCUAAAUCCCUACAUGGCUUCAUUUACAAGCCUAAACCCCAAAUGUAAAUUGAGGGGGGAGGAUCUCGUGUCCUUGGGUUUUAGCUCUAAAUUCCGUAGUUCAGGGUCUACUGGAAAGGGCAGCCUCCAGCUCUUGGACCAGGCGUCAUCUCUUGGCUUUAGACUCCUCCUGCACCACUCAGUUAAAGUUCAGGAUUUCACUAGUGGCUCGUCAGAGCGAGAACGUGCACAUUUAUGGAGAGUGGGAACUCAGCACAGCCCUCAGUUUCCUCUGCUGCCUUUGCCGGGAUUUGGUGCUGUGCGGGUGAGUGGGUGUGCGAGGAACGUGUGA